rnacentral:lncRNA from 1 species
GGCGAGUGUAGGUGAAUUCUAGAAAGGAGGUCUUUUUUCAGAGUUGGAGUGCCACUUUCCCUCUCCCUUACAUUGAAUUGGGUUGCAUCAUGCUUUUGGGUUGAUCCUUCUGUGUGUUUCCACAGGCUCCACCUCCUGUUGUCGGAAGCGCAAGGAAUGGGUUACAUGCAUCAAUGCCCCUCUGCAAUAUUUCCUUUUACAUCGGACUAUUUCUUUACUACUCUUUACUAACUGCUAGGAUGGGUUCAUGUAAUCUUUACUACUCUUAGCAAUAUUACGAAUAGGAGUUUGUGGUCAGCAAUGGUGGUGGGGACACCCGUUCUCAUUUGAAAGGUGGAUAUUUUAAUCAUACAGAAGCAAGGAGCAUAUCAGAGUUAUUUGUCGCUAUUAUGUUACAAUGUUCAAAAGUAUCUUUGCAGAAAAAUAUUCCUUGGGAUUUAGUUCCAUUUGCAAAGAAAUGCCUUUAUUUCUUGUAUAGG